UACGUAGGGGGCUAGCGUUGUCCGGAUUUAUUGGGCGUAAAGAGCGUGUAGGCGGCCAUGUAGGUCCGGUGUGAAAACUCGAGGCUUAACCUCGAGAUGUCAUCGGAAACCAUUUGGCUAGAGUCCGGAAGAGGAGAGUGGAAUUCCACGUGUAGCGGUGAAAUGCGUAGAGAUGUGGAGGAACACCAGUGGCGAAGGCGACUUUCUGGGCUGUAACUGACGCUGAGGCGCGAAAGCGUGGGGAGCAAACAGG
rnacentral:rRNA from 1 species